UACGGAGGGUGCAAGCGUUGCUCGGAAUUAUUGGGCGUAAAGGGUAGGUAGGUGGUCUCAUUUGUCUGGGGUGAAAGCCUUGAGCUUAACUCAAGAAGUGCCCCAGAAACGGUGAGACUAGAGUCUUGGAGAGGGUCGUGGAAUUCCCGGUGUAGCGGUGAAAUGCGUAGAUAUCUGGAGGAACACCGGUGGCGAAGGCGGCAUCCUGGACCGGUAUUGACGCUGAGGCGCGAAAGCCAGGGGAGCAAACGGG
rnacentral:rRNA from 1 species